rnacentral:rRNA from 1 species
UAACGCGAAGAACCUUACCUGGCCUUGACAUCCACGGAAUUCGGCAGAGAUGCCUUAGUGCCUUCGGGAACCGUGAGACAGGUGCUGCAUGGCUGUCGUCAGCUCGUGUUGUGAAAUGUUGGGUUAAGUCCCGCAACGAGCGCAACCCUUAUCCUUUGUUGCCAGCACGUAAUGGUGGGAACUCAAAGGAGACUGCCGGUGAUAAACCGGAGGAAGGUGGGGAUGACGUCAAGUCAUCAUGGCCCUUACGGCCAGGGCUACACACGUGCUACAAUGGCGCAUACAAAGAGAAGCGACCUCGCGAGAGCAAGCGGACCUCAUAAAGUGCGUCGUAGUCCGGAUCGGAGUCUGCAACUCGACUCCGUGAAGUCGGAAUCGCUAGUAAUCGUAGAUCAGAAUGCUACGGUGAAUA